UACGUAGGUGGCAAGCGUUGUCCGGAUUUACUGGGCGUAAAGGAUGCGUAGGUGGAUCUUUAAGUGGGAUGUGAAAUACCCGAGCUCAACUUGGGUGCUGCAUUCCAAACUGGAUAUCUAGAGUGCAGGAGAGGUAAGUGGAAUUCCUAGUGUAGCGGUGAAAUGCGUAGAGAUUAGGAAGAACACCGACGGCGUAGGCAGCGCCCUGGACGACACCUGACGCUGAGGCACGAAAGCUGGGGGAGCGAACAGG
rnacentral:rRNA from 1 species